rfam:Dichanthelium oligosanthes cultivar Kellogg 1175 unplaced genomic scaffold Do_version_2_scaffold952, whole genome shotgun sequence.
GAAAGUCGUGUGCAAUGAAAAAUGCAAGCAUGAUUUGGGGAGGGGUCUUUGUUUUAUUGUAACAAGGAAGAAUUAUCUACUCCAU